rnacentral:rRNA from 1 species
AAUAUUGGACAAUGGGGGCAACCCUGAUCCAGCCAUGCCGCGUUUGUGAUGAAGGUCUUCGGAUUGUAAAGCACUUUAAGUUGGGAGGAAGGGCUUUAGGCUAAUACCCUGAAGUUUUGACGUUACCAACAGAAUAAGCACUGGCUAACUAUGUGCCAGCAGCCGCGGUAAUACAGAGGGUGCAAUCGUUAAUCGGAAUUACUGGGCGUAAAGUGCGCGUAGGUGGUACAGUAAGAUUGGUGUGAAAUCCCCGGUCUUAACCUGGGAACUGCUUUCAUAACUGCUGAGCUAGAGUACGGUAGAGGGUAGUGGAAUUUCCUGUGUAGCGGUGAAAUGCGUAGAUAUAGGAAGGAACACCAGUGGCGAAGGCGACUACCUGGACUGAUACUGACACUGAGGUGCGAAAGCGUGGGGAGCAAAC